UUUAAUUGAGAGUUUGAUCCUGGCUCAGGAUGAACGCUGGCGGCGUGCCUAACACAUGCAAGUCGAACGGAGAUUUAAGGAAGCACUCUUCGGAGCUAAUCCAUAAAUCUUAGUGGCGGACGGGUGAGUAACACGUGAGGAACCUACCCUUGACAGGGGGAUAACAACGGGAAACCGUUGCUAAUACCGCAUGAGAUCUUAAGCUGGCAUCAGCAAGAGAUUAAAGGAGCAAUCCGGUCAAAGAUGGACUCGCGUCCGAUUAGUUAGUUGGUGAGGUAAUGGCUCACCAAGACCGCGAUCGGUAGCCGGACUGAGAGGUUGAACGGCCACAUUGGGACUGAGAUACGGCCCAGACUCCUACGGGAGGCAGCAGUGGGGAAUAUUGGGCAAUGGGCGCAAGCCUGACCCAGCAACGCCGCGUGAAGGAAGAAGGCCCUCGGGUUGUAAACUUCUUUGAUCAGGGACGAAAAUGACGGUACCUGAAGAACAAGCCACGGCUAACUACGUGCCAGCAGCCGCGGUAAUACGUAGGUGGCAAGCGUUAUCCGGAUUUACUGGGUGUAAAGGGCGUGUAGGCGGGUUUGCAAGUUGGAUGUGAAAACUCCAGGCUUAACCUGGAGAUGUCAUCCAAAACUGCAGAUCUUGAGUGUUGGAGAGGAAAGCGGAAUUCCUAGUGUAGCGGUAAAAUGCGUAGAGAUUAGGAAGAACACCGGUGGCGAAGGCGGCUUUCUGGACAAUAACUGACGCUGAGACGCGAAAGCGUGGGGAGCAAACAGGAUUAGAUACCCUGGUAGUCCACGCCGUAAACGAUGAAUACUAGGUGUAGGGGGUAUCGACCCCCCCUGUGCCGUCGUUAACACAAUAAGUAUUCCACCUGGGGAGUACGGCCGCAAGGCUGAAACUCAAAGGAAUUGACGGGGGCCCGCACAAGCAGUGGAGUAUGUGGUUUAAUUCGACGCAACGCGAAGAACCUUACCAGGGCUUGACAUCCUCUGACGAUGGUAGAGAUAUCAUUUCCCUUCGGGGCAGAGAGACAGGUGGUGCAUGGUUGUCGUCAGCUCGUGUCGUGAGAUGUUAGGUUAAGUCCUGCAACGAGCGCAACCCCUAUUGCCAGUUGCUAACACGUAAAGGUGAGCACUCAGGCGAGACUGCCGUUGACAAAACGGAGGAAGGUGGGGACGACGUCAAAUCAUCAUGCCCCUUAUGUCCUGGGCUACACACGUACUACAAUGGCUGUCACAGAGGGCAGCGACACCGCGAGGUGAAGCGAAUCCCAAAAGGCAGUCUCAGUUCGGAUUGCAGGCUGAAACCCGCCUGCAUGAAGUCGGAAUUGCUAGUAAUGGCAGGUCAGCAUACUGCCGUGAAUACGUUCCCGGGCCUUGUACACACCGCCCGUCACACCAUGAGAGUCUGUAACACCCGAAGUCAGUAGUCUAACCGCAAGGGGGACGCUGCCGAAGGUGGGAUAGAUGAUUGGGGUGAAGUCGUAACAAGGUAGCCGUAUCGGAAGGUGCGGCUGGAUCACCUCCUUUCUAAGGA
rnacentral:rRNA from 1 species